GGAGAAACACAGGAAUUGAGAGGACGUACAAUGCAGGAUGAGAACGACUACAUCACAAUACCCUUGUUACAUGAUAACAAUCUCCUGAUGAAUCUAGUCCUAGUGCCUACCCAGACUUUGCCCAUGACUGUCUUUCACCCACUGAAUAUAUCUAUGUUGAGAAAUGUUAUUGCGAAGGAUCGCACAUUCGGAAUUGUACAUACAAAGCACAUUGAAGGUGGUGGGUCGGAAAUGGCUAAAUAUGGAACGACAGCAGAAAUAUAUGAGUAUCAAGAGAAGGGGGGAGCGGAGCUCUGUCAAUUAAAGCAAAGGGUCGUCAGAGAUUCAAAUUGAUUUCGACCAGGCGAGAAAUGACAGGAUUGGUUGUUGCCCAAGUAAAGAUUUUACCCGAGAUACGAAUGGAGAACCCAUUUGAAAUGAUGCGUCUUCAGUCAUUAGAUAAAAUGCUGUUAUCCCCUCCAGUAGAAGAAGAGGCUGGAAAAGCUCCUCAUGCUGGUUAUUUAGAUGAAGUCCGAACUCCCAAGUUUUGGCACGUCAGAAGGAAAAUGCAUGGUUGACUCCAUGGCCUUCAUGGGUUUAUAAUCAGUACGACGAUCUUCUCCUGACGCUAAGGUUAUCAGUGAACUCGAG